GACGAACGCUGGCGGCGUGCUUAACACAUGCAAGUCGAACGGAAAGGCCCCUUUGGGGGUACUCGAGUGGCGAACGGGUGAGUAACACGUGAGUAACCUGCCCUUGACUUCGGGAUAACUUCAGGAAACUGGGGCUAAUACCGGAUAGGAAUCCUUGCUGCAUGGUGGGGGUUGGAAAGCUUCGGCGGUUUUGGAUGGACUCGCGGCCUAUCAGCUUGUUGGUGGGGUAGUGGCUUACCAAGGCUUUGACGGGUAGCCGGCCUGAGAGGGCGACCGGCCACAUUGGGACUGAGAGACAGCCCAGACUCCUACGGGAGGCAGCAGGGGGGAAUAUUGCACAAGGGGCGGACGCCUGAUGCAGCAACGCCGCGUGCGGGAUGACGGCCUUCGGGUUGGAAGCCGAUUUCAGCAGGGGCAAAGCUUGCGAUGACGGUACCUGCAGAAUAAGCACCGGCUAACUCCGUG
rnacentral:rRNA from 1 species